CCUUCCCUGGCGCGGCGCGGCGCGGCCCACGGGGAUCCCUCCGCGCCGGCCCGGCCGGAUCUACCCGAGGAGGCGGGGAUGCCGGGGCGGCGGCGGAAGGAUCCGGCCGCGCGGAAACAGGGGCUCCUUUUUAUUCCUGCGCGCUCAGGUGUGCCCACCCGUUUCCUGUGAAAAUAUCCACGUUUCAAGAUAAAACGCUGAGACGGGCACCAGGUAGAGGUUGAGUUACUGCUAGGAUAAUACUUACGGUACCUGGAAAUGCUUUAGUCUGGUUUUAUUACUACACACAUACACGCAAUGAUGUUGUGCUUAUGCUUUAAAAAGAUGCUAAAAGGUAUUUUUAAUGAUAUAGCAAUAACCUGACUGUCUGAUCCCCUGCAGCAGGGAAAAAAAAGCAUAAACAUAGCUGUUAAAGCAAGCAUCACUAUAUAUAUUGUAGUCAAGCCUCAUGUUCUAAGUAUUUGACAAAACCCAGCUUACCUGACGUUGUCGCAGUAUAGCUAUUCUUACUGAACUCAUCCUGGUGGCUGUCUGCCCCAAUUCAAGUUUUUUUUUUUUUUUUUUUUAACAGUUUUAGGUGGAAUGGUACAGCUGUUUUCUUACAGUGAGAUCAAGGAAGAAUGACUACUUAAGUGUUCCCAGUGCUUUAUGUUAGGACUGAAAUAUGAUGUGGAUUGCCACAUUUGCAGGGAACUGUCUUUUGAUGCCUGUCUUAAGAUCAGCCCCCAAAUAAUCGAAUUCUAAACCUCUGAAAAACUGGUUUACAUAUCCUUGUUAGAAUAUGGCAAAAAAUACAUAUCUUCCCCAUUCUUUCUGCACUGAGAAUAUUCCUAUCUUGGAAGAACUGUUUUUUCUGACCGCUUUUGGGAGCUGAGCAUCAAAAAUGAGAGAACACAAGCACUGACUCUUGCAUGCUUGCUGCCCUCUCUCCCAAAGAGUGGGAAGGAAGGACUAGUAAGGACAAGUAGGAAGGCCCUGCACAAUUAUGCAUGUGAAGAAUAUGGAGAAGAGACUGCAGAAACCCAAAGAUGGUGAAAAAGCCAUUUGCCUUGUCACACUCUAGCUAUUCUUGAUUACAUGGAAGAGCCAAUUAUUACCAAGGAAAAACUAACUGAAGUGAAGAAAGGCCUGUACUGUGGAUUUAAGGAUUGAAUUUUGUUGAUAAUUCAAGAUGUGAUCUUUUUUCUAGUUCCACUAGUUUCUUCCACUAGUUUCUCGUGGAAGACUUGUGAUCUCACCCUGUAUGCUUGUCUGAUUCCCUUCUUAUCCCAGAAAUCUUUGAAUUUAUUUAUUUGUUUCACUCAAAUGUAACAAAGAGGUAGAGGUCUCAAAGAUAAGUAAGUUCCUACAAGCUUUGUGAAGGUAGCUGACUACCGGUAAGGUGCUUCUGCAAGUGAGGAAAAAGCUGCAACAUGACCUUGCAUCUUUAUGACAGACACCAAAGAAUUCGUGUAAGAGAGUGCAUUUACCAUAACCACAGAAAAAUCUCCAGCAAGAGUUACCUUUUUAGACACAGUAAAAAAACUUGCAGGAAGUUUGGCUUUGUUAGUUUUAGUGCUCCCAGAGCUAACUAUGCGGCUUUUUAGGUUGGUUUUCUAAGGAUGCAAAAUUUGGGCUUACAUGUAGCAUUCUGACUGCAUAGGUCUGUCCGCUGUUCUCUUAACUGAUAAAGCCACUGAAAAUUUUAAUAAGAUAAUAUAGCUCUCAGGAAUAUUAAGUUGUUAAUGAGCCUUGCAAAGGUAAGUACCUGAAAGAAAGAAAGAUUCCCUGUCAAUACAGUUUGGAAGAGGACUGCAUUUAUGAGCUUGCCUCUUCCAGUUUGUUAUCCACAGGGCUACCAUUAGAAUUACAUUUUCAGAAGGUUACGUUAAAAGAGCAUAGAUGCACUAAGUCAAAUGCCUGUAGUAAGAUUUUUCCCAUGCAAUCUUAAAGUUGUUUUGCCUCAGAAUAUGCUUUUAAUUGUAUAGAAGUCUUCCAUGUUUUUUUUCCUGUAGAUUCUCUGUCACAUUUGGUAUCCAGGUGCUCCUGGAUUACAUGUUGUAUGCUAAAGCAGACGUUACUUAUGAGAUUGGUCCUCCAUUUGCUGUAGAAAGUGCGUAAAGGAAACAGACGUAUAGGGAAAAGUACAGUUAAAGAAAUGCAGGAUUAAUUAUAGUUUUACUUAUUUUCUGUCUAAACUUAGGCCGUAGAGGACAGCAAUGUGAUCAAACCAGAGCGUUCAGAAAGUAUGACUCAGGCCUGCUUUCCUCUUCUUGGCCUCUCUCAAAACAGAAUAUUGGUAUUUAUACAGUGUGAAGAUUCUUUUUGCAUGCCUGAUAAUUUUUGAAUCUUGGAGCUUAAGCAUUUCCUUUUAAAACGUAGAUCCAAAAAUUUUAGGUUAGAGGGGGAAGGUUGGUUGUGUUUGGGCAGGAGGGAGGCAUUGCUGGAGUGAACAAUGGCUUGCAACAGGGAGGAAGGGAAUUAAGGAAUGAAGAGAGGUUGCAGAUAAGGAAGGUGAAGAAGUUGCUUCUGCCUUUUAACAGAAUUGCUAAAAGGCUUUAUCAGAAAUAGAAGAGGGAAUCUGCUUGCACUAUACAUGAGUUAACUGAACUUCUAACCCAUAUGGCUUCUGAGGUUGCUCCACAUAGAUUUGAGGCCUCUUGAAAUCAUCUUUUUUAGAAUAGACUCUUGGGAUUCAUUACUUAAGAUCACGCUCUUAGGCUGUGGGCUCCUGAAUUCAUUAUCGUUACCUUCCACUGAGGGACAAUGACCACGUUAGCUAUUGAGUGGUGAGCUCAGAGCAAAGUAAAGACUUCUUAUUCAGGAGAAAAUAAUUUCUUGAAACACUAAAUGGCUGCACAUGCCUAUUUUAUUAUGCUGUAUUCAUCUUAUCUAUGAAUUUCUAGCACAUCUAAAGUACUACAGAUCCCAUGCUUGGUCUUUUUAUCUCAUGGUCACAAUUUUAUGCUUUUUCUUUUUUGGAAAGAGCAUCUUGACAGUUCCGUAGCUUGGGAAUGUCACUUUAUACAGUUUAAAAUCUGUGUCUUUUUAGAUCUUGAAACAGGUAGAAUUAAUUCGUGCUGCUGCUUCAGAAAAUUUAUAAAUGUAUAAAGUGUGUUGUAUAAAAUGGAGAAAAUGGAAUGACCAUGAACCCCUUGGUAAUGUUCUGCCUGGAAGCUUGUGCUUUAAUGUGAAGAUUUGUAAUUGCCUUCCGUAUGAAUGUUCCAUAAAGAAAAGUAUGCCCUUUGUCUUCAUAAACGAAUCAGAAAAAGCAUGCCUGGAAUCUAGGUAAUUUCAAAUAAAUUACACUGUUCGGAGUCCAUUCACUGCUCUGCUGGAAAACAUAUAGGUAUCAUCAGUCGAGUGCUGUGUUUCUUUUAUAUUAAACACAGCUCAGUCUGCUGGAUGCUGAGUGGGAGGCUUAGAGUGGACAAGAUGAGAUUUAUUAGUUCUUUGAGGAUGGUGGUGGUUGCUGUAUUACAUGUAAUGCAUUCUUGAAUUUUCAUCCAUGUUUUAGUGGAAGAUCAUGGAAGUCAGGGGUUUUCUACAGCUCUGGAAAAUUAGGCCAUCAGUCUCAAACUGGGCACUUUAUUAAUAUUUAUGAAUUCUAGUAUUAAUGUUUUAUUAAGGCAGAAAUCAGUAAACAGUGCAGAAAUUAUAUUUUGUUCGCUAAUUGGUCAGUGAAAUACAACAGUAGUAAAACAUUAGCUCACUGAAUUGUUAAUAUCCCCCAACUGAGAUUCUAGAUUUUUUUUUUUCUUUUGAAGUGCUACGUUCCUGUUACAGGCUUCAAAAGCUAUUUGUUCUCCAAAUCUGGACAGAUUUCUUUCAGAAUUUACUUAGCACUGCAGAGUAACCUAACCAUGAGCUUCAGCCUGUAUAAAAGCAGUCAGCAACUUAUUCUUGGACAAUGGAGAAAAUCAUGUUGCAAUUUCUUUGAAAAGUCUAAGAACUUUAGCAAUUGUAAACACACUUCUGUGUUUAAAUAACUGAUGCCAGCUGAUCAAAUCUUACUUUUCUGAAACCUUUGCUGAAAUUGGAGACUUGUGCUAUGUUGUGGAGUGUUGGUGGUUGAUACGUUGAAUGAAGCUGAGAAUGUUAGGACUUGGCACUCUAUUAAAAAUAGUAUUUUGAAACAAGAUUGUUACAGCAGUCUGCUGCACUAGCUGAUCUAAGAAAAUGGCAUAAUGGGUUAGUACUGAUGUCCAUUCUGUUCAGUACUUUGAUUCUGACAAAUGACUAAUGGCAAAGGCUGCAAGAGAACUCAGUUUGGGGCAGAUACCAUAAUCUGCAUUCUCUUUUGGCAGGAAGCCCAUUCUUGAUCUUCUGAAGAUUUGUUGAAGUUCUAAAGCAUAAAGCUUAACACCUUUUGGAAAAAAAUGAUAAUUAGAAUUUCGAAUCCUCUAAAUCUGUACAAAACUAGCUGUUCUGACUUUGAAUAUUGGCAGAUUCUUGUUUCAGUGACUUUUGUAGCGGUGAGUUCCACUGACAGCAUACAACUUUGUUUGUUUGAUUGGUUGUUUUAAAUGAAAAAUGAGAAAUUUGUCAGGUACCUUCUUGUUCUUGACAGGAACAGUUUUCAUGAUCACCUUUCCAAUCUCAUUAUUUUAUUUCUGUCUAGGUAACCUAAAUGUCUGGUAAACUGUAGCCUUUACAGAAAAUAAAGAGGGUUCUGUGUACAGCUAUUACCAUGCACCCCAUAGGAAAAGCCUGAUUCAUCUGGCUUAACCUCCUGUCACACAGACGGCUUGGGUCAACGGAGCACUUCAGAAAGUCAUCAUUUAACUACUUGUGUUUUUCCACACCCUACUCAAAGGAAAUUUUGGUAACAGGUAGCAGUAUGUCUUUGAAUUAAAACACUGGUAUUUAAUAUUCUCAGCAAAGAUUCUCAGUCUGUGUAUUAAUAGCCUGUGUAUGUGUCUAAAAUGGCUGUAUCUUUCUUUAAAAAUUUUAGGUUUAGGUCCAGUUACUUCCCACAGCAUAGCAGAACAAGCAUUAUUCUAAUAAGCUAGUAUGUUUUUACUCUGAUCUUAUUUUUGCAUACAGUUACUUAAACUACUUUCUACAGGACUGUUCAGUGAAAAACAGCUCUGACUUACUUAAACAUGUUAGACUUCCUGAAGAAAUGUAGCUUUAAUUCUCUUGAUGGCAACUGGUCUACUCACGCACAUUAAAAGAAAGGGGGGGAGCGCAAAAGCAAAAUCAGUGCUUUUAUCUCAUGCAAUUAGUGAUCUGUGUGCUAGACUUAGGCUUUAUUCUUAUCAGAGUGUCCAUUGCUGUUGUAUGGGUAACACUUCAGAAGCUAAGAAUUAACCAGUGCUUUGAGUUAAUGGUAUUUGUCCUCACCUGUAUUUCUUCCCCUUCUUUUCCUUCUGUGAAGCAACAGUACAAAAGGAAUGUACUGUGAAAGAUUUCUUUUUCCUAGCAGUAUAUGAUACCAAAUACUUGCUUCCUUGAGAGAAAUACCUUUUAACAUAUGCUAGAAUAAAAAAUGAUGCUUUUGCUAUGUUAGUGUUGUGUGCCUAACCCUGAAUAAAAGAUAAACUUGCCCCAAACAGUCUGUUGUUAAAUAAGGGUUCAGUCAAUGUAAACAACAUUAGAAAAAUGAGGGGAGAAUAAGGGAAACAUCAGUAAUAUGUUAAUGGGAAGAAACCAGGUAAGAUUACCAUAACUUUGUACUGCCCGUCUAUUUAAUAGCUGGCAAUAUCACAUCGAGUCAGUGUAAGAGUAAUUUUGAUGGAUUUGAAAGAGCCAGAGGUAGUGGUGGUACCAGCUUCAUUUGAGGAAGAUGAUGUAUGUAUGCAUGUGAAAGAAGGUAUAAAGAAUGAUGCACUAACAAGUAGCGGCAGCUUGUUUUGCUGCAUGCAUCAGGCCUUGGACUGUAGUAAUGCUUUAUGCUACAGCAUACUGGCACCUCUUGCUAAGUUUUUGUUCUCCAUUGAUUUAUCCUACCUGGCAGCUGUGUGUGGGUUUUUUUUUUUUUUUUAAAAAAAAAAAGGAAAUAGCCCUGACUGUGUGUGACCAAAAGAAGGUUCUUAAGAUAUUACAAGAGUUUGUGUUUUGCUUUCCACUUCAUGCUUUCUCUAGAAAGGUAUACACUGUUUCUCAGAAAUCCCUGUUUCAUGGAGCUGUGUUGGAUAUCAGAGGUCAGUGUGUCUGGACAGUGUAGAUAGCAAAACUUUAUUGCUGUUAAUGCAUUGUAUCCUUUGCUACUCUUAACUAUGGUUUGGCUGGUAAGAUCCACAGUUCAGGUAUGUAGUUUAGAAAGGACCAGAGAGUUUCUGUUUUGAGAAUACCUAUAAGACUGAAUUGCAAUGAAUACAAAUAUAUUUGCUAAUUAAGUUCUCUGAAAUAUGUAAGAUUUAUUUUUCCAUAUGGAAAUUGUUAUUAUAAUACUAUUUCACUAGAUUUUUAUAGGAAUACAAAUGGUUCUCUUAGGUCUUUAUUCCAUUUAAAAAAAUGGAUCAAGAUGGCUAAGUCUGGCUCUCUUCAGGUUGUAUUAUAUAAUGCUUUCAGGAGUAUUGAUUUUUCUUUGGUCUGGGGCGGAUAAAAUUACGUAAGUGUAAAACUGAAAUCCACAGUAUUGUAUUUGAGAAGGAUGUGAAUGAAUGCGUGUAGGGCCAGUCUACACUGGGAGAAAGUUUUCCUUGGGUUACUUACCAAGUGCAAGGGUAGAAGAUUAAGCAGCUUCCAGUAUUUCUACCAGAGGGCCUGUUAAGAAGAAAAAUGAAACAUCAUGCUUAGAUAACUUGAGGAUGAAAAUAUGGGAUGCCAUUAGGACCUUGCCUAUAGUUGGAUUUCCACAAUAAUUUUUAGAAAAAUUCCUACUAUAGAUUAACUCUCAACCAGUGUAUUAAACACUCUUUUAUUGGAGCAGAUAAGGUUAUUACGUGCUCAGUAUUUCACCUUCAUGUAUCCCUUCUAAUAAAGGUAGCUUUUCCCCUUA